UGGCUAACUCCUACGGGAGGCAGCAGUGGGGAAUUUUGGACAAUGGGGGCAACCCCGAUCCCGCAAUGCCGCGUGAGUGAAGAAGGCCUUCGGGUUGUAAAGCUCUUUUGUCCGGGAAGAAACGGUAGUAGCUAAUAUCUAUUACUACUACCGGUACCUGAAGAAUAAGCACCGUCUAACUACGUGCCAGCAGCCGCGGUAAUACGUAGGGUGCAAGCGUUAAUCGGAAUUACUGGGCGUAAAGCGUGCGCAGGCGGUUGUGUAAGUCAGAUGUGAAAUCCCCGGGCUCAACCUGGGAAUUGCAUUUGAGACUGCACGGCUAGAGUGUGUCAGAGGGGGGUAGAAUUCCACGUGUAGCAGUGAAAAGCGUAGAUAUGUGGAGGAAUACCGAUGGCGAAGGCAGCCCCCUGGGAUAACACUGACGCUCAUGCACGAAAGCGUGGGGAGCAAACAGGAUUAGAAACCCCGGUAGUCCAGCUGG
rnacentral:rRNA from 1 species